rnacentral:rRNA from 1 species
GUCCAGACUCCUACGGGAGGCAGCAGUGGGGAAUAUUGCACAAUGGGGGAAACCCUGAUGCAGCGACGCCGCGUGAGCGAUGAAGUAUUUCGGUAUGUAAAGCUCUAUCAGCAGGGAAGAAGAUGACGGUACCUGACUAAGAAGCCCCGGCUAACUACGUGCCAGCAGCCGCGGUAAUACGUAGGGGGCAAGCGUUAUCCGGAUUUACUGGGUGUAAAGGGAGCGUAGACGGCGGCGCAAGCCAGAUGUGAAAGCCCGGGGCUCAACUCCGGGACUGCAUUUGGAACUGUGUGGCUGGAGUGUCGGAGAGGCAGGCGGAAUUCCUAGUGUAGCGGUGAAAUGCGUAGAUAUUAGGAGGAACACCAGUGGCGAAGGCGGCCUGCUGGACGAUGACUGACGUUGAGGCUCGAAAGCGUGGGGAGCAAACAGGAUUAGAUACCCGUGUAA